rnacentral:rRNA from 1 species
CCUACGGGCGGCAGCAGUAGGGAAUUUUCGGCAAUGGGGGGAACCCUGACCGAGCAACGCCGCGUGAACGAAGAAGUUAUUCGUAAUGUAAAGUUCUUUUAACAGGGAAGAAAGAGAAAUUUGACGGUACCUGAAGAAUAAGCUCCGGCUAACUACGUGCCAGCAGACGCGGUAAUACGUAGGGAGCGAGCGUUAUCCGGAAAUGUUGGCCGAAAAGGGUGCGUAGAUGGUAUAGUAAGUCUUUUGUAAAAAUGCUGGGCUCAACCCAGUAGGGCAAAAGAUACUGGAAAGCUAGAGUAUGACAGAGGCAAGUGGAACUACAUGGGUAGCGGUAAAAUGCGUAAAGAUAUGUAAGAACACCAGUGGCGAAGGCGGCUUGCUGGGUCGAUACUGACAUUGAGGCACGAAAGCGUGGGGAGCAAACAGGAUUAGAUACCCGAGUAGUC